GGGACAUGGGGGAGGGCGGUGCUCUGCGAGCGCCGCCCUCCCCCGUGUCCCGGGCCUUGCCCUGGCCCCGGCGCUGGGCCUGGCCCGACGGCGCGGCGGACGAUGAGGGCUGCGGCGGCGGUGCGGCGCUGGCUGGCGGCGUCGGUGCUGGCGGGGGCCCGGUGGGGCCGCGGGCUGUGUGGGGAGCGGUGGGGCGCCGGCGCGGCGGCCGCCCGCAAAAUCACCGAGAAUGCCAAAAAAGCCUUGGCCUCACUGAAAAGAGAAAACCCUCGGCUUGAGCCAACACUAGCCAUUAUUCAGGCACAUAACGAUAAUUUGAUUCAAGAAGUAAACAAGAAGUUUGCUGAAGAGGUUGGUCUACGCAUUAUUCACAUCUGUCUCCCUGAAGGUAGCAGCAAAGAUGAGGUUGUCAAUGAAAUCUUGAGACUUAAUGAGGAUCCUAAUGUGCAGGGCCUUGCUCUUGACCUCCCAGAAAGCGCAUAUAGCAGCAAGGUGUUAAAUGCUGUGAAACCAGAGAAGGAUGUGGAUGGAUUAUCCGAUGUAAACCUAGGACGCUUGGUACGUGGAGAUGGCUAUGACUGUUUAGUUUCUCCUACUGCCUGUGCUGUGAUGGAGGUUCUUGAAAAUUUAGACGGAAAGAAAGUGCUGCUAGUGGGAGCCAGCGGGGCCCUGGGAGCCUCCUUGCAAUGUAUGCUGCAGCAGAGAGGUGUGAUGACCAUGAGCUGCCAGUGGAAAAGUCCUCAGCUCCAGGACAAGCUUCAUCAUGCAGAUGUGGUGGUAGUUGGCAGUACAAAACCUGAAGAUAUUCCCGCCAGCUGGAUAAAACCUGGAACCGUUAUUGUCAAUUGUUCUCGUGACUUUCAAUCAGAGAAACACCGCUGUGGUCAGCAAAACAACCACCCUGUUGAAAAUGAUGUUUGUUCUCUUGCGAUAGCAAUGCGAAUGCAGAACAUGGUAAAAAACACGGAGAGAUGGAUCCAAUCCCAGCAGUACAGGAAGUGGGACCUCCAUUGCUUGAAACUUCAGCCCCUCUCCCCAGUGCCCAGUGAUAUUGAGAUUUCCCGAGCUCAGAGUCCAAAAGCCGUUGAUGUACUUGCCAAGGAGAUAGGAUUGCUUACAGAUGAAAUUGAAAUCUAUGGCCAAACCAAAGGCAAAGUACGUUUGUCCCUGCUGGAAAGGUUAAAGGAUCAACCAGAUGGAAAAUAUGUUCUAGUUGCUGGAAUAACUCCUACACCCCUAGGAGAAGGGAAAAGCACAGUCACAAUUGGUCUUGUCCAGGCUCUUAGUGCGCACCUUAACAUUAAUUCCUUUGCCUGUCUGAGACAACCUUCCCAAGGACCUACUUUUGGAGUUAAAGGUGGAGCAGCAGGAGGUGGAUAUGCUCAAGUGAUUCCCAUGGAGGAGUUCAAUCUUCAUUUGACUGGAGAUAUUCAUGCUAUAACUGCUGCGAAUAAUUUGCUGGCUGCUGCUGUUGAUGCUAGGAUCUUGCAUGAAAAUACUCAGUCUGAUAAGGCUUUGUAUAAUAGACUGGUUCCAGUAGUUAAUGGUGUGAGAGGAUUUUCUGAUAUUCAGCUUGCCCGUCUGAGAAGGCUGGGAAUAAAUAAGACUGAUCCUAGUACUUUAACAGAAGAGGAGAGCAGCAAAUUUGUGCGCCUUGAUAUUGACCCAUCUACCAUAACAUGGCAAAGAGUGGUGGAUACAAAUGACAGAUUCCUACGAAAAAUAACAAUUGGCCAGGCAAAUACUGAGAAAGGAUUUGUCCGUCAGGCUCAGUUUGAUAUUGCUGUUGCAAGUGAAAUUAUGGCCAUCCUGGCACUUACCACUGGCUUGGCAGAUAUGAAGGAGAGGCUGGGAAGAAUGGUGGUGGCUAAUGAUAAAAAGGGACAACCAGUAACUGCAGAGGAUUUGGGAGUAACGGGUGCUUUGGCAGUUUUGAUGAAAGAUGCAAUUAAGCCAACGCUAAUGCAGACGUUAGAGGGAACACCAGUAUUUGUUCACGCUGGACCUUUUGCUAAUAUUGCACAUGGGAAUUCUUCUGUUUUGGCAGAUAAAAUCGCCCUUAAAUUAGUUGGAGAAAAAGGAUUUGUUGUAACUGAAGCUGGCUUUGGUGCUGACAUUGGGAUGGAGAAAUUCUUCAACAUCAAAUGCAGAGCCUCUGGCUUGGUUCCCAAUGUGGUUGUGCUUGUUGCUACAGUGAGGGCUUUGAAGAUGCAUGGAGGUGGGCCAAAUGUAACUGCUGGUGCCCCUCUGAAGAAAGAAUACACAGAAGAGAACCUCCAGCUAGUAGCUGAUGGCUGCUGUAAUCUACGGAAACAGAUUCAAAUUACUCAGCUGUUUGGAGUUCCUGUUGUGGUUGCUCUAAACGUCUUCAAAACUGACUCUCCUGCUGAGGUUAAUUUGGUCUGUGAGACUGCAAAGCGAUCCGGAGCAUUUGAUGCUGUACCCUGCAACCACUGGUCGGCUGGUGGUAGAGGAGCAGUGAAAUUAGCUCAAGCUGUGGAAAAGGCAGCCAGUCAGAAAAACAGUUUCAAAUAUCUAUACAACUUGGAGCUUCCUAUUGUUGAAAAAAUAAGGAUCAUUGCUCAGAAGGUGUAUGGAGCUCAGGAUAUAGAGUUGUCUCCUGCUGCACAGUCACAAGUGGAUCGUUACAGCCAGCAGGGAUUUGGAAAUCUUCCCAUUUGUAUGGCAAAAACUCACCUAUCCCUUUCCCAUCAGCCUGAGAGGAAGGGUGUUCCCACUGGUUUCAUUCUGCCCAUUAGUGAUGUGCGGGCCAGCAUUGGAGCUGGAUUCAUCUACCCUUUGGUAGGAACGAUGAGCACCAUGCCGGGACUGCCCACGAGGCCUUGCUUCUAUGACAUUGACCUUGACCCCACCACAGAGCAAGUGAAAGGAUUGUUUUGAGAGUGAGCUCCAAGUUCAGAAGCCUGGAAAAUAAGAACUGCAACUUUCCUAUUUUCUGCAAAUAGGAGAGAAAAAUCAAUUUGAAAUAUUCCUGUUAUGUAUCUCUGGAGGAAUAUCAAGACAGACCAAAGAGCAAAAGUUUACUCUUUCUUCAAACUAGUUUUUAUGAUGAUAUAUAGCUGUAAGGUUAAAAAAAAAGUGCAAGCUAAUUUUUUUCUGUCUUUAAUGCAGAAAACUCUCUACAAGGGCUUAUACUUGUUUGUUUGUAGAAAAGAUGACAUUGAAAAAAAAGUGAAAUUUUUCAUCUUGAAGUUUUUGUCUUUCUCAACGGAGUUAACAGAAGUAUUUCCCUUAUCCUUGGUCAUCUAAAAACUUAUGUAAACAUGAUUAUGCUGUUUGAUCAAGCCUAUUUCUCUCAAAAAAAUACACCUCAACUCUUGGCAUUCAGGAGCUGAAACUACACGCAGAUUAACUGCACAUUUUUGAGUUAUCAUCAAGUGUUGCUCUGGAUGCAUUUGGGCAACAGCCAAGUUUCAAAUGAGGAAGAUAUUAAGUGGAGAAAGAACAGAGCAUGUAUUUUGCAAAAAGUUUUUAAUAUAGAGCUUGUUUCCUUGGUGGGCAAAGAGCUGUUGAAACACUUAAGCCAUAGUUGCCUCAUAUCCGGUGCACCGCCUGGAACUCAAGAGGAACAUCUGCGAAGCCAGGAUGCUUCAGGACAAAUGUUUGGUCUGCUUCAUUUGACGGUUUUUAACCAAUCUACUUGUAAAAAUAGAGUGUGUUUUGUAUUUGAAGUGGGGGUGUUUAAGCAAGUUGAAUCUUAAACUAUGACGUUCUUUAAUCUACCACAGUAACUUACAUUUUCCAGUAUAGCUUUUCGUCAAUUUGCAACAAAAGCUGCCAUAAGCACAGGAUAUUGUUUAGCUUUUCAAGCUGCUCCUUCUCAGGAAACUGUCACUGACCAACUGCUGGUUCCUUCAAUAACAAAAGAAUGCAACAGAACAAUAGGUUUAAUCAAGACAAUAGGCCGUUGUUUUUUUAGGUAAAAAGCAGUGAAAUAAUGAUGAGAGAGUUUAUUUUCCUGGUGACGUUUUCCAUCCUGUCGUUUUGCUCUGCUUACGCACAUCUGUAUGUUAUAGGCUUAUGCAAUGUAGUUUUGAUUCUCUUUUACAUGGCCACAUUUGGAGACUCAAUUACAGCACAGUUCCUGGGACAAUUGAGGGGUUUGUUUUGGGUUUUAAAACCAUGCUUCAUUAUUUAUAAACUCAAAGCUAUAAUUAUGGACAGAAGAACAAACUGAGGACAGUUAAAAUAAUUACCUGUGCCUUCCCCAAAGUAGCACGGAAAUGUCUGUUGACCGCAUUUCAGAACUGUUCUAUUCAUAGCUUCAUUCCCCAACACAGUAGGGAUUGCUGUGAAGAUAAACUUAAGUGUAAAAAAAUCAGGGCUAACUGAUGUUUCAGCCUGAUUAGGUGAUAGCACUCAUAAUGGCCUAGCCUGUGGAUGUUUUAAUUACAGUGAGGCAGGCAAAGCUUAUGAUAAACAAGUUGAAAGCAAAAUUUAAGUAAGUACAGCUUUCCAAGCCAUUGUGGACAGAUUUCUGAUAGUUACUAUUAAACUGUGCCCCAAAAUAACUAUGCUGUUUAUACAUACAACUGUUUUGUGGUUUAGUCCUGCCGCAGUGAGCUAUCUCUAGCCUAGAGGAAUGUGAACAAUUUUGGAAGAAAGUAAGUGUGGUCACCAGCCAUAGUUUUCCUACUACUGUUCUUUGAAAUAAAUAAAUAAAUAAAGUUUUCCCUCCAUCUUGCCUAGAGAAAUUCAGGAAAUUGUAACCACACUUUACUCAUGGUCACUCUGGUUUGGCCACAGGUGCAUUGGAUUUGAUCUCCAUGCGGUAUGGGAUGCUAAACACAUCACUAGCUGUUGACUGUAAUGCUUCCCUAAAGUACAUGGGUGUCUUUGACCAACAAGUUUUAUAAGCCAGUUCAAACUGCCGCUUGUUACCCACACACUUUGUAAAUUAUUGUCACCGUGUUGUUUCUUUAAGCCAUGACUGCUUGGACUGCUUUUCUGACCCUUCAGUCUCUCCCUGAAGCAUCAGUCUAGCUCAGUUAGUUGAGAGUUAAUGAGCAUCAUGUAAUUUUUCUACAGUCAUAUGCCCAGGAUUUGUUAUGUUCUUCUGAUAGAGCCAUUCCAACCUUCCUUGAAUUAUUGAAGGUAUCUAUCUUUUGUUUUGGCCUAGCUUCCCCCCGCCCCCAGCCCUAGCUAGUUAACUAUCUAUCUAAAAAAAAAAAAAAAAAAAAAAAAAGAAAAUAUCUUGAGGUGCUAUAUUUCAGUUCUUCAAUUCAUUUUGCAUUUUAGUAGCAGAUUUGUUAAAGCUACGCUGCACUGGCCUGCAGCUACUGUCUCAUAAUCCAAAGGGACUGAGUUACCGGCCAUCGCCUGAACUGCUGAAAUUCAUGCAGUACAUGCCCUUAAGCUGCCUUAGUUCUGAAGUCAAAUGCCUUCAUAAGGAAUGGUUAAAACUUAAAACUUUUAAGGUGAGUAUUAUUGCUAGGUUGUUGCUUGUUGUUACAGAGAUGUGACUGUGGAUGUGGGACUCCUGCCUUUGCAUCUGCUCUGAGCAAUGUUGUGACACCGUACAACUGCAGCUUUUCAAAGGCUGCUUGCCUUGCUUAUCCUUCUCUUGCUGAACACGUUAAAAAAAAAAAAAAGUGGUCGUUUAUUAUCAGUAGAUCUGCUUCUUGUACUGACUGAAUACUUUGUUAUUGCUACUGCUUACAGAAAACUGAUGGCAUUGAAAUAUUUCAGCAUUUGGCGUUUUUUUUAAUUAAAAAAAAAUCUAGAGUUUCAGUUACUGUGAACGUUAAAAAUAAUAAAUGAAUAAAUAAAGUCCAUAUGUGUACUGAUGUUCAGAUUGCAAAA